rnacentral:misc_RNA from 1 species
UCUCCGUUGGUGAACCAGCGGAGGGAUCAUUACAGAGUUACACAACUCACCAAACCAUUGUGAACCGACCCUUCUGUUGCUUCGGCGGGAGGCGCCUCGGCGCCCCUCGGCCGAUCCCCCCGGCCCCCGCGGCGUGGGGGGAGGCUCCCGCCGGAGGAAUACCCCAAACCCUUUGCAGCACAUGGCCUCUCUGAGUUUAUGUACUGAAUAAGUCAAAACUUUCAACAACGGAUCUCUUGGUUCUG